rnacentral:rRNA from 1 species
GAUGAACGCUGGCGGCGUGCCUAAUACAUGCAAGUCGAGCGAACAGACGAGGAGCUUGCUCCUUCGACGUUAGCGGCGGACGGGUGAGUAACACGUAGGUAACCUACCUAUAAGACUGGGAUAACUUCGGGAAACCGGAGCUAAUUCCGGAUAAUAUUUCGAACCGCAUGGUUCGAUAGUGAAAGAUGGCUUUGCUAUCACUUAUAGAUGGACCUGCGCCGUAUUAGCUAGUUGGUAAGGUAACGGCUUACCAAGGCAACGAUACGUAGCCGACCUGAGAGGGUGAUCGGCCACACUGGAACUGAGACACGGUCCAGACUCCUACGGGAGGCAGCAGUAGGGAAUCUUCCGCAAUGGGCGAAAGCCUGACGGAGCAACGCCGCGUGAGUGAUGAAGGUCUUCGGAUCGUAAAACUCUGUUAUUAGGGAAGAACAAACGUGUAAGUAACUGUGCACGUCUUGACGGUACCUAAUCAGAAAGCCACGGCUAACUACGUG